rnacentral:lncRNA from 1 species
CAAUGUUCCAACCAAGAACAGCAUACAAACAUAGAUUGCAUAAGGAAAGUAUCGAAAACAUAAACAACUAAGUUAUUACAUGCAUUCAACUCACUUAUUACAUUUUACAUCACAUAUCACAUUCUUUAAGUCUCUUUUUAGCUUCCAAAUACAAUCAAGUUUCCAACAUAAUUAUUACAACAUUGUUCUUUCCAUCACUAAACCCCUAAGCUAAGCCGACUUAGGGUACCGCUAUCUCUCUAGUCUCGAUGGUAGGGCGCUAACUAUGGAGCUACGCCCUAGCCACACGCUGCCGCGCCGCUCACGUGUGAACCUGUACCAC